AUAAGCUUUGAUAUUGCAUUACGCUACAGAAUCUCAAGUUCUAGAUUACUUUCAGCAUAAUAUGACUCAAACAAAACCAAAUGAAAGUUAUUAUUCCGUCUCCAACUCCAAGCGUACCUAAAAUGGCUUCUAAUGCAGCUGUAGUUUCACCGAAGUCAAUAGAAUAAUGACGCAAUAAACGUCACUCAUUAUUCCCUAACUAAAGGAUCUCUCACAAUAACAAUCUUGUAAAUAGGAACAGUGCUGUCAAAAAUAUUGUAAAUUUGAAGAGUCUAUAAAGGAUUGUGGAUUUAAAUUUUGCGCAUAUGCAAGCCCUGCGCGGGCAAUGCAUAAAUGACCUAUUACCUAUAAAUACCAAUAAACACCUAUCACCGGAGCAAUGGGAGGAUGCAAAGCACAAGGAUCUAUACUCGAAACUUAAAAGCAGACACCACAACCAACCCCACGAAAAUAUCAAUUGGGAGGAGGUUAAUCUGCUCAGGAAUCGGCCCAAAUAUACGAACGCUGAAAGGAUAAUAUCUUACCGUAUAGUAAAGGACGGCUAUAUUUUCGGCGAUCGAAUGGCGAGGCAUGAGCCUUAGGCACGGCCCAUUCGGGAUCAUAAAAAUUAUGAACUGUAAAUUUUGUAGAGAUCCGUGUGACAAUACUAAGCACAUAUUUCUGCAUUGCAAGAUCAUAGCGGCAUAGGUUGCAAGUUUAAUAGAAUUCCUAAAUGAAAUUCUAUGCGGGACCACCACAAUCUCUAGAGAACAAAUAUUCCUUAAUAGUUUCAAUGGGCCAAACGAGAUUGCGGUUACAAAAUGUUUCGUGCUACUCAAACAGGCAAUUAUACAUCUCUCUAGAUAUAGAAAGUCGGUACAUCGCUCCCACAGACGGAAAUAUUACAGAAGCCGCCAUAACCAAAUUUUCGGAAUUUCUUCUCGUAAUGGAAAAAAAGGUUCACAGAUAUACAAUUUCUCGGCAUACAAAAUAACUGGAAGGAAAUACUUAACGGAUAUCUUCUGCCAUGAAACCGAAGCAAAAAAAAAAUGGGAAAUGAUGAAUCGGAAGCUUCACGGUGGAUGUCAUGCUGUGUGCGUGUUACACGUUUUCACACAGUGUGUACGGAAGCCGCGUCGGCGGAAGUUGAGCUGUGCUAUGCAUGGCAUUGACGAAGCCCUGGGCGAAUGUCAUGCUAUUUGGCACAUAGUAUGUACAGAAGCUCAGGGCCGAAGUUUGUGCCACGUAAUGCAGAGCAGAUACGGAAGCCGGGGUGGCGGAAGACACUGAUCCGAAUUUGGGAAAAUUCUGAUCCGUAAAACUAAAAAAAAAAAAUAUCUAUAAAUGACCCUGAAAUUUUGUAAACAUCGUUUUCCAUAAAAGAGAGUCAUAUUUUUUGCACUAUUGUGGUUCUUCUCCUGGCUCUUUAAAAACAUCUUUCUUUCUAUUCCCAUUGCUUGACAUGGUAAUAUCAUUGGUGUAUUCUGGUACCAAUUUAAAUGAAUUCAUGUUUGAUCACUGUUGAUGAAAAAAAAACGUUCUAUGAAUCUGCCUAUCACACUAUCGUGACAGACAGACCUAAAUAUUUUCGCAAUCCUGGUGAAGAAUUGCUAAUAUUUUAAGUAAAUUCAAAUGAAUUUCCCACAACACCACAACCAGCAUGGAAUUUCGAAGCAUGAGGAAAGAACAGGCAUACAACUGGACAUAGUCCACAAACACAUUUACUAAAGGAAUAAAUUUAACAACACUAAUACAAAAUAACAUUCAAAUAUUUGGAGAAUAGAAACAGAUAA